UCCAGAGGGUGCGAUCGUUAAUCGGAAUUACUGGGCGUAAAGGGUGCGUAGGCGGUUCGAUAAGUCAGAUGUGAAAUCCCCGGGCUUAACUCGGGAACUGCAUUUGAUACUGUCGAACUCGAGUUCGGUAGAGGGUAGUGGAAUUCCCGGUGUAGCAGUGAAAUGCGUAGAUAUCGGGAGGAACAUCAGUGGCGAAGGCGGCUACCUGGACCGAAACUGACGCUGAGGCACGAAAGCGUGGGGAGAAAACAGG
rnacentral:rRNA from 1 species